UACGAGGGGGGCAAAUGUUGUUCGGAAUCACUGGGCGUAAAGGGAGCGUAGGCGGGUUCUUAAGUAAGGUGUUUAAUCCCGGGGCCCAACCCCGGACCGGCACUUUAAACUGGGAAUCUUGAGUAGUGGAGAGGUCGGUGGAAUUGGGGGUGUAGCGGUGGAAUGCGUAGAGAUCCCCAAGAACACCAGUUGCGAAGGCGGCCGACUGGACACAUAUUGACGCUGAGGCUCGAAAGCAUGGGGAGCAAACAGG
rnacentral:rRNA from 1 species